CAACAACAACAAUUGGAAGGAAGAGAACUAAGAAAUCUUCUGGGAGACGGCUGGCAACAAGUGUUGAAAUAACCAGAAACAGCUGAGAGGAAAACCAAAUAUUUGUUAAGUGAACUUACGCCAAACUAAGCUCAAAAGCAAAGAGUGCGAUAUAUAUUUGCAUGGAGAGCGAGCAAAUGGGAAUCCCAAUUGUAGACAUUGAACAAGCAAGCAUUUGAGUUUUAGAAGUGAUAGAAAUCAAACGAAAGAUCUUUUAGGAAAAUAUUAUAUAGUAGUAUUAAAAAAAUAUAACCAGAGAAUAUGAAAUUAUUUAAAGAAAGUAUAAAAAACAGUGACUAACAUAUACCAGGUAUCUACUUUCGGAUUGGUGGUCUUAUAAGCAAAACAGCAAUUAAAUUAGGAUGCUAACAAAGGGAGAGCAUUACUAAAGAACUGAUUUUCUACGUCAUAUGUAGUCAGCACGUUUUUUGUGCAUUUGGACUAUGCUUUGUUAUGGAUGAUUACAUUUAUUUUCUUUUGUAACAAUUUAUAUUUUUAAUUUACAAUUACUUACAAAAUUUAAAAAUUGUUUUUGCACAAACGAAUGUUUAAACAUUUCAAAGCGACGUUCACAUUUUUCUUUAGUAUUGGUUGCUCUUGCAAAAUAAUAAAAAGAGCUAGUAGGGGACCCGGUCAACACCAACUAGUUAUAAGCCCUUUAAAAUGAAGCCUCUAGGUGUUCCCGAAUAUUUUGUUAUGCAAUUAUAGAAAUAUACUCUCACGUUAAGUAAAAUCGAAGCCAGACACAAGCCAAAUGCAAAAUAGCACUUGAAUAAAUAUUUUUGGAUUUUUUUAAGCGCCGCUGCUGCAACAA